ACGCGCCAACGUGCCCCACCUGUCCUUCACCUCAGUUUAUCUGUUUUUAUGAAUGUCUGUAUAAUUCUCAGCCUAGUCUUAACCCGGUUUUAACGGAGGCGUUACAAAACAAAAACACUCAGCACUGUGUAUGUACACUUUCUCAUGGUCUUCGCCGGAAGUUGCUGUUUGAGGCGGUUAUUUGAAUUUUGCAAAAAGAGUAGUAAGAGCAUAUGGCAACUACUACUGAAUGUUUAUCCGCUCUCAUGACUAAAAAAGGACGUGAGAACUCCUAUCGUACUGCUACCCCGGGAGUCAGUUCAGAGAAACAGGGCUGGCUGUUAAAAAGGGUCGUGGGCUGAAAAGUUUGGGAACCCCUGGUCUAUGCCACCAACACUGAUACAGUGGAUAUUCCCCAUCAGCCUGUGCUUCUACGUUGCUCAGAAGCUCAGUGAACCCGGGUCUCUCGUCGGUGACAUCUGCCAUCAGCAGUGCAUGACUGUGGAGAAAUCUGUUGAGAGCUACAGGGCACUGUACUGAACGGUUCCCAUUGAUCUACAUUUGCCUGACACUGUGACUGACAGAGCCAAUCAGCCUAUCGUGGCCCUGGAGACGGACAGACACUCAUUUACAGGUUGGCAACCUGUCCAGGGUGUGGCCCACCUUUCAACCAAUGUCAGCUGAUAAGCUCCAGCCCCCUGAGACCCUGAACGGGAUAAGUGGUCAAGAUAAUGGAUGGAUGGAUACUAAAGAUGUACUG